GCACCAGCCACAUGAAUACAAGGCGCCAGCCAUGUAUUUAAGGGACACAAAUUUUGUGCUAGCCACAAGAUUUAAGGUGCCAGCCGUGGAAUUUAAGGCGCCAGUCACACAAUUCUGUUACACAAAAUAUGGCGCCAGCCUUGAAAAUUGUGGCGCCAGUCACCUAUUUUAAAGGAACAUGUGCAAAAUUUAAACAACACAUGGCGCCGGUCGUGAGCUAUUCUUCAGCAAAAAUAUCAGUCUCAUCUUAUCAAGUCAGUUGCGAAUCGUGGGGAGAAAUUAAAGUAACUGAAAGCAGAAAAGGCAGGACUCCUCAGCCUAUAUAUAGAUGCAUUCAGAAUGAAUUAAGAAGGAUCUUCCACUACGACAAGUUAGAGCUUAAGAGAAAAAACACUUACUUUAAAUUCUUAGAAUUAAGUUUACUGCUUUACGUGUUGAGAGCUACAGCUUGUCCUUUGUUUCCUGUUCAAUUCCAGUUUCGGUUUUGUAAGUUACAUUAAUCAAUAUAUUUAGUUUUAUUUUCCAAA